rnacentral:rRNA from 1 species
CGUGAGAUGUUGGGUUAAGUCCCGCAACGAGCGCAACCCCUGUCCCCAGUAGCCAGCGGGCAGUGCCGGGCACUCCGGGGAGACUGCCGGGGACAACCCGGAGGAAGGCGGGGAUGACGUCAAAUCAUCAUGCCCCUUAUGGCCUGGGCUACACACGUGCUACAAUGGCGCAGACAGAGGGAGGCAAAGCCGCGAGGCGGAGCAGACCCCAGAAAUGGCGCCCCAGUUCGGACUGCAGCCUGCAACCCGGCUGCACGAAGCCGGAAUCGCUAGUAAUCGCGGAUCAGAAUGCCGCGGUGAAUACGUUCCCGGGUCUUGUACACACCGCCCGUCACACCAUGGGAGCCGGAAAUGCCCGAAGUCAGCGGCCCAACCGCAAGGGGGGAGCUGCCGAAGGCAGGUCCGGUGACUGGGGUGAAGUCGUAACAAGGUAACCGU